rnacentral:rRNA from 1 species
UACGUAGGGUGCGAGCGUUAAUCGGAAUUACUGGGCGUAAAGCGUGCGCAGGCGGCUGUGCAAGACAGGUGUGAAAUCCCCGGGCUUAACCCAGGAACUGCAUCUUAUACUGUGUAACUUGAGUACUGUAGAGGGUAGUGGAAUUUCCGGUGUAGCGGUGAAAUGCGUAGAGAUCGGAAGGAACACCAGUGGCGAAGGCGGCUACCUGGACAGAUACUGACACUGAGGCGCGAAAGCGUGGGGAGCAAAAGGG